GCCGCGGUAGUAUAGCCCGGCCAAGUAUGCGGGCCUUUCGAGCCCGUGACCCGGGUUCAAAUCCCGGCCGCGGCA
rnacentral:tRNA from 4 species